rnacentral:rRNA from 1 species
AAACGCAUUAAGCACUCCGCCUGGGGAGUACGGUCGCAAGACUGAAACUCAAAGGAAUUGACGGGGGCCCGCACAAGCGGUGGAGCAUGUGGUUUAAUUCGAAGCAACGCGAAGAACCUUACCAGGUCUUGACAUCCUCUGACAACCCUAGAGAUAGGGCUUCCCCUUCGGGGGCAGAGUGACAGGUGGUGCAUGGUUGUCGUCAGCUCGUGUCGUGAGAUGUUGGGUUAAGUCCCGCAACGAGCGCAACCCUUGAUCUUAGUUGCCAGCAUUCAGUUGGGCACUCUAAGGUGACUGCCGGUGACAAACCGGAGGAAGGUGGGGAUGACGUCAAAUCAUCAUGCCCCUUAUGACCUGGGCUACACACGUGCUACAAUGGGCAGAACAAAGGGCAGCGAAGCCGCGAGGCUAAGCCAAUCCCACAAAUCUGUUCUCAGUUCGGAUCGCAGUCUGCAACUCGACUGCGUGAAGCUGGAAUCGCUAGUAAUCGCGGAUCAGCA